rnacentral:tRNA from 1 species
GAGGGUAUAGCUCAGUGGUAGAGUGCAUGCUUAGCAUGCACAAGGUCCUGGGUUCAAUCCCUGGUACCUCUA